UACGUAGGUGGCAAGCGUUGUCCGGAUUUACUGGGCGUAAAGAGCGCGCAGGCGGUCGUUCAAGUCGCGUGUGAAAGCCCCCGGCUCAACUGGGGAGGGUCACGCGAUACUGAUCGACUCGAAGGCAGGAGAGGGUAGUGGAAUUCCUGGUGUAGCGGUGAAAUGCGCAGAUAUCAGGAAGAACACCAAUGGCGAAGGCAGCUUGCUGGGACGGUACUGACGCUGAGGCGCGAAAGCGUGGGGAGCAAACAGG
rnacentral:rRNA from 1 species